rnacentral:tRNA from 2 species
GGAGAUGUCGCCUAAUUGGUAUGGCAACGGCUUGCUACCCCGUUAAGUGAAAGCUUAUGUAGGUUCAACUCCUAUCAUCUCCG